UGAACGCUGGCGGUAGGCCUAACACAUGCAAGUCGAACGGCAGCACAGUAAGAGCUUGCUCUUACGGGUGGCGAGUGGCGGACGGGUGAGGAAUACAUCGGAAUCUACUUUUUCGUGGGGGAUAACGUAGGGAAACUUACGCUAAUACCGCAUACGACCUACGGGUGAAAGCAGGGGAUCUUCGGACCUUGCGCGAUUGAAUGAGCCGAUGUCGGAUUAGCUAGUUGGCGGGGUAAAGGCCCACCAAGGCGACGAUCCGUAGCUGGUCUGAGAGGAUGAUCAGCCACACUGGAACUGAGACACGGUCCAGACUCCUACGGGAGGCAGCAGUGGGGAAUAUUGGACAAUGGGCGCAAGCCUGAUCCAACCAUACCGCGUGGGUGAAGAAGGCCUUCGGGUUGUAAAGCCCUUUUGUUGGGAAAGAAAAGCAGCAGGUUAAUACCCCGCUGUUCUGACGGUACCCAAAGAAUAAGCACCGGCUAACUUCGUG
rnacentral:rRNA from 1 species